CGAAAGUUUGGGAGAUCACAGCAGCAUCCACCACUUGGAGCUUUGACUCUUGGACACAGACAAGCGACAAAUUGAAUGACUGAAGAAAGAGACGGAUGGAGUUUCUCCUAGCAGGGUUGUUCAGCCCCCUGAUAUUCCACACCACAACACUAAGACAAGAAUCCAUCAGAAAAUAAAUAAAAGCUUCAGGAGACAACAGAGCAGCAGCAAGCCUAAGCGCAAGGUUCUGCUUCAUCCGGAAGAGUGAAUGCCUGGAUGCCAGAGUAGGCAGGCUCGUCGAAGCUGUAUUCUUCCGGGGCGAAGAGGGCUGCAAUUGCGCGCAGGUGCUGC
rnacentral:lncRNA from 1 species